rnacentral:rRNA from 1 species
UACGAAGGGGGCUAGCGUUGCUCGGAAUCACUGGGCGUAAAGCGCACGUAGGCGGCUUGUUAAGUCAGGGGGUGAAAUCCUGGAGCUCAACUCCAGAACUGCCUUUGAUACUGGCGAGCUUGAGUCCGGGAGAGGUGAGUGGAACUGCGAGUGUAGAGGUGAAAUGCGUAGAUAUCUGGAGGAACACCGGUGGCGAAGGCGGCAUCCUGGACCAACACUGACACUGAGGAGCGAAAGCCAGGGGAGCAAACGGGG